rnacentral:lncRNA from 1 species
AUGUUGCCCAGGCUGAGAAUUUCGUUAUGGCCAGCUGUGACACAGAAAGGUUGUUCCUACUUUGGCCAUUGGAGCUCUUUCCAGUUAGCUUCUCUUCCUUGGACAGCUUCCAUACGUUUUUGAGCACUUCCUUAUUUCUGACACCAGAAGAUGACUCAGGCUUGACUUAUAUUCUCCCCAUCCAACAAUGGAAUCUGCCAUUUCUCCAAGGAGCCCUGAUUCCUUUUAUUUGAGCGUGG